rfam:Triticum urartu cultivar G1812 contig82368, whole genome shotgun sequence.
CAUGUACUCCCUCCGUCCGGAAAUACUUGUCCGAGGAAUGGAUGUAUCUAGAUGUAUUUUAGUUCUAGAUACAUCCAUUUGUAUCCAUUUCUAUGACAAGUAUUUUCGGACGGAGGGAGUAUAAC